rnacentral:rRNA from 1 species
AGUGGCGGACGGGUGAGUAACGCGUAAGAAUCUAACUUCAGGACGGGGACAACAGUGGGAAACGACUGCUAAUACCCGAUGUGCCGCGAAGUGAAACCUAAUUGGCCUGAAGAAGAGCUUGCGUCUGAUUAGCUAGUUGGUGGGGUAAGAGCCUACCAAGGCGACGAUCAGUAGCUGGUCUGAGAGGAUGAGCAGCCACACUGGGACUGAGACACGGCCCAGACUCCUACGGGAGGCAGCAGUGGGGAAUUUUCCGCAAUGGGCGAAAGCCUGACGGAGCAACGCCGCGUGAGGGAGGAAGGUCUUUGGAUUGUAAACCUCUUUUCUCAAGGAAGAAGUUCUGACGGUACUUGAGGAAUCAGCCUCGGCUAACUCCGUGCCAGCAGCCGCGGUAAUACGGGGGAGGCAAGCGUUAUCCGGAAUUAUUGGGCGUAAAGCGUCCGCAGGUGGUCAGCCAAGUCUGCCGUCAAAUCAGGUUGCUUAACGACCUAAAGGCGGUGGAAACUGGCAGACUAGAGAGCAGUAGGGGUAGCAGGAAUUCCCAGUGUAGCGGUGAAAUGCGUAGAGAUUGGGAAGAACAUCGGUGGCGAAAGCGUGCUACUGGGCUGUAUCUGACACUCAGGGACGAAAGCUAGGGGAGCGAAAGGGAUUAGAUACCCCUGCAGUCCUAGCCGUAAACGAUGGAUACUAGGCGUGGCUU